AACACACAUAUCUGUGUUUUGCUCAGAAAUUCUAAUGCACAGUUGACACAACUGAGUCAUGCUUGUCUUCUCAAAUGUAAGUUGAAGUUCACCCAGGGUUCACCACGCUAAGUCAUUUUGCACAUGCGCAGAGCGGCAGACCACGUUAGUCAACGUCUCCUCUAUUGAAGGACCGAGCGCGAGAAGCGAGCUGACCGUUGGCAAUCAACUGAUCGAAGAUUAAUUCAGUGUCAUGACUGAUGCAGUGGAACUAACUAAAAGAGAGAGAGAGAGCAGUUGUUCUCCUUGGCCUGGCCCAUUUCCAGAAAGAGAAUCCCUCCCAAUUCUUCAAGAUUUG